rnacentral:tRNA from 1 species
UGCGGGAUAGUGUAGUGGUAGCACGUCGCCCUCUGGAGGCGAAGACCUUGGUUCGACCCCAAGUCCCGCAG